rnacentral:rRNA from 1 species
AAACUCCUACGGGGGGCAGCAGUGGGGAAUACUGCACAGUGGGGGAAACCCUGAUGCAGCAACGCCGCGUGAAGGAAGACGGUUUUCGGAUUGUAAACUUCUUUUCUUAGUGAAGAAGCAAGUGACGGUAGCUAAGGAAUAAGCAUCGGCUAACUACGUGCCAGCAGCCGCGGUAAUACGUAGGGUGCGAGCGUUAUCCGGAAUUACUGGGUGUAAAGGGAGCGCAGGCGGGACGGGUAGGUGGAUGUGAAAUACCGCAGCUUAACUGCGGAGCUGCAUCCAAAACUGUAGUUCAUGAGGGGGGG